UCCGGUUUAUCACCGGCAGUCUCCAUAGAGUUCUCGCCUUUACGCGUUAGUAACUAUGAACAAGGGUUGCGCUCGUUGCGGGACUUAACCCAACAUCUCACGACACGAGCUGACGACAGCCAUGCAGCACCUGUGCACGAUCUCCGAAGAGGGGCUCUCGUUUCUGAGAGCUUGCUCGUACAUGUCAAGCCUAGGUAAGGUUCUUCGCGUUGCGUCGAAUUAAACCACAUGCUCCACCGCUUGUGCGGGCCCCCGUCAAUUCCUUUGAGUUUCAACCUUGCGGUCGUACUCCCCAGGCGGGGUACUUAAUGCGUUAGCUGCGGCGCUGAACGUGUCGAAACGCCCAGCACCUAGUACCCAUCGUUUACGGCGUGGACUAC
rnacentral:misc_RNA from 1 species